GAUGAACGCUGGCGGCGUGCCUAAUACAUGCAAGUCGAGCGAACAGACGAGGAGCUCGCUCCUCUGACGUUAGCGGCGGACGGGUGAGUAACACGUGGAUAACCUACCUAUAAGACUGGGAUAACUUCGGGAAACCGGAGCUAAUACCGGAUAAUAUAUUGAACCGCAUGGUUCAAUAGUGAAAGACGGUUUUGCUGUCACUUAUAGAUGGAUCCGCGCCGCAUUAGCUAGUUGGUAAGGUAACGGCUUACCAAGGCAACGAUGCGUAGCCGACCUGAGAGGGUGAUCGGCCACACAGGAACUGAGACACGGUCCAGACUCCUACGGGAGGCAGCAGUAGGGAAUCUUCCGCAAUGGGCGAAAGCCUGACGGAGCAACGCCGCGUGAGUGAUGAAGGUCUUCGGAUCGUAAAACUCUGUUAUUAGGGAAGAACAAAUGUGUAAGUAACUAUGCACGUCUUGACGGUACCUAAUCAGAAAGCCACGGCUAACUACGUG
rnacentral:rRNA from 1 species